rnacentral:rRNA from 1 species
UACGUAGGGUGCGAGCGUUGUCCGGAAUUAUUGGGCGUAAAGAGCUCGUAGGCGGUGUGUCGCGUCGGCCGUGAAAACCUGGGGCUCAACUCUGGGCGUGCGGUCGAUACGGGCAUCACUGGAGUUCGGCAGGGGAGACUGGAAUUCCUGGUGUAGCGGUGGAAUGCGCAGAUAUCAGGAGGAACACCGGUGGCGAAGGCGGGUCUCUGGGCAGUAACUGACGCUGAGGCACGAAGGCCAGGGGAGCAAACGGG